UUUUUAAAGAAAUAAUUUUAAAUAAAAUCUGCUCAAUGAUUUUAAAUAGCCGCAAAUAUUUGUGCUAAGGUAGCAUAAUCAUUAGUCUUUUAAUUUAAGAAUAGAAUGAAAGAUUUAACAUUUUAAUUUCUUUUUUUAAUUAAAAUUUUUAAAUUAUAUUAAAUAUAAAAAUAUAUUUUUAAAAUAAAAAGACGAUAAGACCCUAUUAAACUUUACUAAUGUUAAGUUGGGGAAACUUAUUAAUAAAAAUUUUAAUACAAUUAUUUUUAAAAAUAUUCUAUUUUAAAUAAUUAUAAUAAGUUACUAUAGGGAUAACAGCGCAAUUAAUUUUAUAAGAUCUUAUUAAAAAAUUAGAUUACGACCUCGAUGUUGAAUUAUAAAUACUAUUUUAAGCAAAAUUUAAAUCAGUAAGUCUGUUCGACUUUUAAAUUUAUACA
rnacentral:rRNA from 1 species